GUCCUGUUGAUUAUAAUUUCAGGUCUGACCUGCCCAAUGAGGAUUUUAAAUGGCCGCAGUAUUUUGACUGUGCAAAGGUAGCAUAAUCAUUAGUUUUUUAAUUGAAAACUGGAAUGAAAGGUUUGAUGAAAAAAUUUCUGUCUCUAGAAAAGUUUAUUAGAAUUUUAUUUUUAGGUAAAAAAGCUUAAAUGUGCAUAGAAGACGAGAAGACCCUAUAGAGUUUUAUAUUUAUAAAAACAUUAUUAUUUUUGGGAAUUAAAAAUUUUGUUUUGAGUAAGUAUUUUGUUGGGGUGAUAGAAAAAUUUGAUUAACUUUUUUUUUAUUUAUACACUGAUGUGUGAAUGAAUGAUCCUAGAGUUUAGAUUAUAAGAUUAAAUUACCUUAGGGAUAACAGCGUAAUUUUUUUAAGAGUUCUUAUCGGAAGAAAAGAUUGCGACCUCGAUGUUGGAUUAAAAUUAAUUUUUGGUGAAGAAGCUAAAAAAUUAGGUCUGUUCGACCUUUAAAAUUUUACAUGAUCUGAGUUUAAACCGGCGUGAG
rnacentral:rRNA from 1 species